rnacentral:rRNA from 1 species
CCUACGGGAGACAGCAGUGGGGAAUAUUGCACAAUGGGGGAAACCCUGAUGCAGCGACGCCGCGUGAGUGAAGAAGUAAUUCGUUAUGUAAAGCUCUAUCAGCAGGGAAGAAAAUGACGGUACCUGAGUAAUAAGCCCCGGCUAACUACGUGCCAGCAUCCGCGGUAAUACGUAGGGGGCAAGCGUUAUCCGGAUUUACUGGGUGUAACGGGAGCGUAGACGGCAGUGCAAGGCUGGAGUGAAAGGCGGGGGCUCAACCCCAGGACUGCGCUGGAAACUGUACGGCUGGAGUGCAGGAGAGGUAAGUGGAAUUCCUAGUGUAGCGGUGAAAUGCGUAGAUAUUAGGAGGAACACCAGUGGCGAAGGCGGCUUACUGGACUGCAACUGACGUUGAGGCUCGAAAGCGUGGGGAGCAAACAGGAUUAGAUACCCGGGUAGUC